AUUACCGAGUUUUCGAGCUCCGGCUCGACUCUCCCACCCUUUGUGAACGUACCUCUGUUGCUUUGGCGGCUCCGGCCGCCAAAGGACCUUCAAACUCCAGUCAGUAAACGCAGACGUCUGAUAAACAAGUUAAUAAACUAAAACUUUCAACAACGGAUCUCUUGGUUCUGGCAUCGAUGAAGAACGCAGCGAAAUGCGAUAAGUAAUGUGAAUUGCAGAAUUCAGUGAAUCAUCGAAUCUUUGAACGCACAUUGCGCCCCUUGGUAUUCCGGGGGGCAUGCCUGUUCGAGCGUCAUUACAACCCUCAAGCUCUGCUUGGAAUUGGGCACCGUCCUCACUGCGGACGCGCCUCAAAGACCUCGGCGGUGGCUGUUCAGCCCUCAAGCGUAGUAGAAUACACCUCGCUUUGGAGCGGUUGGCGUCGCCCGCCGGACGAACCUUCUGAACUUUUCUCAAGGUUGACCUCGGAUCAGGUAGGGAUAC
rnacentral:rRNA from 1 species